UAUUGAUAGAGGCGCGUAUAGCUAUCAGUAGCCGCUUUUAAUUUUUUUGACUCGCAGGUCACGAGCGGUAAAAGGAGCAUACGCCGAAGCAAAGGGCUAAUGCGAAGUGGUUUUUUGCUGGUUUUGCGGAAUAAUAUCCGUACGACUGUCGCCGUUUAUGGCGGAGGGCUAUCUGA
rnacentral:ncRNA from 1 species